rnacentral:rRNA from 1 species
CGGCGAGUGAAGCGGCAACAGCUCAAAUUUGAAAUCUGGCCCUCGUGGUCCGAGUUGUAAUUUGUAGAGGAUGCUUUUGGUGCGGUGCCUUCCGAGUUCCCUGGAACGGGACGCCAGAGAGGGUGAGAGCCCCGUACGGUUGGACACCUACCCUAUAUAUAGCUCCUUCGACGAGUCGAGUAGUUUGGGAAUGCUGCUCUAAAUGGGAGGUAAAUUUCUUCUAAAGCUAAAUACCGGCCAGAGACCGAUAGCGCACAAGUAGAGUGAUCGAAAGAUGAAAAGCACUUUGAAAAGAGGGUUAAAUAGCACGUGAAAUUGUUGAAAGGGAAGCGUUUGCGACCAGACUUUUUCCAGGGGGAUCAUCCGGUGUUCUCACCGGUGCACUCCGCCUGGUUUAGGCCAGCAUCGGUUCUCUUAGGGGGAUAAAGGCUUGGGGAACGUAGCUCCUUCGGGAGUGUUAUAGCCCCUUGCGUAAUACCCUUCGGGGGACCGAGGAUCGCGCAAGGAUGCUGGCGUAAUGGUCGUCAACGACCCGUCUUGAAACACGGACCAAGGAGUCGAACAUUUGUGCGAGUGUUUGGGUGUUAAACCCUCACGCGUAAUGAAAGUGAACGGAGGUGAGAGCCCUUACGGGUGCAUCAUCGACCGAUCCUGAUGUCUUCGGAUGGAUUUGAGUAAGAGCAUAACUGUUCGGACCCGAAAGAUGGUGAACUAUGCGUGGAUAGGGUGAAGCCAGAGGAAACUCUGGUGGAGGCUCGCAGCGGUUCUGACGUGCAAAUCGAUCGUCAAAUCUGCGCAUGGGGGCGAAAG